UUACCUGGUUGAUCCUGC
rnacentral:rRNA from 1 species